GUCCCUUAGGGGAUAUUCAAUAAAAUUGAAACGACACAGAGAAGAGUAACAUGACUUUUGCGCAAGAAUAAUAAUCGCAGAUUGAAAAAUGAUCCAAUUACUU
rfam:Solanum lycopersicum cultivar Heinz 1706 chromosome 2, whole genome shotgun sequence.